rnacentral:lncRNA from 1 species
GGGAAUCCACAUUAAUAAAGCCACUAUGGAGAAUAGUAUGGAGGUUCCUCAAAAAAGUAAAAAUAGAACUACCAUGUGGUCCAGCAAUUUCUUUACUGGAUGUAUAUCCAAAAUAAAGGAAAUUAAUGUAUCAAAGACAUAUCUACAUGCCGAUGUGUACUGCAGCACUAUUCACAAUAGACAAAAUAUGGAAUCAACGUAAGUGCUCAUCAACAAAUGAAUAGAUUUUAAAAGUCAUAUAUAUACAUAAUGCAAUACUACUCAGAAACAAAGAAGAAUGAAAUUCUGUCAUUCACAGCAACAUAGGUGGCACUGGCCAUUUGGUUUAACGUAAUGAACAUAGGCCAUUAUGUUAAGUGGAAUGAGCCAAGCACAGAAAGGCAAAUACCACAUGUUGUCACUCAUAUGUGGGCAGUAAAAAAGUGGAUCUCAUGAAGAUAGAAAGUAAAUUGGUGGUUGCUAGAGGCCAGCAAGGGGAGUGGGAAGAGGAGAUUAAGAGAAGAAAAUAUAAAUGUAUUUAUCACCACUAAACUGUCCUCUAAAAAUGUACAGAUGGUAAAUUAUAUAUAUAUAUUUUUUAACUCAAUAAAAAGUUAAAAAAAUUCUGCUGUGUGUUUAUAGGGCACAUGUACAAGACUUUCUCUAGGGUUGUAUCAGUUUUCUAUUCCUGCUGUAACAAUUUACCACAAAUUCAGUGGCUUAAAAGAACACAUUUUUGUAAGAUUUGAGUCAGUUUUAAAAAACACACACAGACUUAUUGUCUUAGAAUUGUUUUGGUUGGAAAUCUGGCAUGGCUCUCACUGAACUAACAUCAAGAUGUUGGCAGGCUGCAUUUCUUUCUGAAGGCUCUAAAAGAGCAUCUGGGUUGUUGGCAGAAUUCAGUUCCUUGUGGUUGUAGAUCCUCAGUUUCUUCCUGGUUGUAAACUUUGGGUCAUUCCCAGCUUCUAAAGGUCACUGGCUUUUCUUGGCUUGUGGCCCCCUACCACUGUUUUAAAAGCCAGUAAUAGCAGGCCACAUCUUUCUCAUACUGCCAUCUGUCUGAAUCUCAGCAUCCAGAAAAUAUUCUCUGCUCUCAAGGAAUUAUGAGAUUAGACUGGCUCACCAAGGUAAUUCAAGAUAAACACAAUCUGGGAAACAUUUUAUAAUACAGAGGGCCACACCAGAUUGAAUAUUGCCCCCAGGAAUGAAAUGAAAACAGGAAUGGAUUCUCCAGUAAGAGGUACCCAGAUAUCCUAAUCUUCAGUAGCUGACCUAAACCCUGGACAAGUGGGAUCAAAUCCCAUAACCAAACACAACUUUUUAGGAACUAAGUGGAUAAUCACUCUGUGUUGUAUGAACAUGUGGGCAGUGUGUUUCCUACACAGCUUAAAAGUGCAACAAAAAAAGAUCUAGGUGUCAUAUAAAGAAUUUCUACCACUGUUAGGGUAAUGGUGGACUGACAGGCAGAGGGGCUCAGAUGUGACUUAAGUAAAGUUCAAUAGAAGCUUCCAGCACAGAUAUUCAUGUUUCAAAUUGGACCACUCAGUUAAAAAGUUUUCCCAUUAGACUUCCCCUAAUCAAAUUAGAAAUUAUCUAAUUUUCUAAUAAAGUUUUCCCCAGGCACAAGGAAUCUGUGAACUGGACCUAAAAAAUUCUUCGUAAUGUACUUUUAUUACCAUAAAAGAUGCACAUUUAUUUUAAAAACUUCUCUACACCACUAUCAUAAACCUUUGCACACACUUAUUUCUUUUGGAAGCUAACUUCUGAGUGGUAAUGAAAUAUAUUCUUAAGAAAAAAGUCCGACACAAUGCCUUUGCGUCUUAAAAUAUGUUAAAAUAUUAUUUGAAAAGAGUCAAACAUCUGUCUUUUCAGGGUAUCACAGGGCGUCAAACUGGAAAAUGUGGCACUGCCUGGAGUUUCUACCUGGUGAAGGGUGGCAGACUUUUCUCUUCAGAGGACUCUUGACAGGGUAGCAUCCAUUAUCUUGCCAAUUUACUACAACCUAGGCCCAAUCCUCAGUCUUAUAGGUUCAGAAAUUUAUUUUUAUCAGCAUCAACAGGGUAGCUACAUUGCUUAGAAGCAAACAAAAUUAACCAUGCUUCAAUAGAAAUCAGGAUAUAGAUGUAUUAAUACAGAAUGACAAAUAUAACUGUGACAGAAAUAGGAAUGCCUGUUUAUGGUCAUAUACGGCCAAUACUUUCAUUACAGCCAAACUCAUAUAUGCAGCCAAAUAAGAGGCCCCUGGAUACACAGGGAAUCAGAAUAAAAAAAGAAGAACUGAACAUUUAAUAGUCUUCUUUCAUUCAAUCAAUAAUUUUUUUUAAUUAAGCAACUACUAUGUCUGGGUAACCUUCUAGGUCCUGGGGAUACAGAGGUCUCUGCUUACAGAAGUCAUAUUUGUUUGAAUCAGUGGAUGCAGAACCCAUGAAUAUGGAGAGUCAAUUGCAUUUUAUUAUGCCCAAAGGUAAAUGCAUAAUUUUUCCACACAGCUAAUCUUCUAGCAACCCCAUUGCUGUCCAUGGCAAACAGGCUUAGUUAAUCUCGCCCUUUCCCGUUUCAGGUUCAUUAUACACCAUGGAAUACUAUGCAGCCAUAAAAAAUGAUGAGUUCAUGUCCUUACUAGGGACAUGGAUGAAGCUG